rnacentral:lncRNA from 1 species
CACGUACAUUGUAUAUUCAGAGGUAGUUGAGUGUAGUCAAGUCUAGGAUAUGUGGUACAGCUAAUAUGUUUUAUGCAUUGUGAUAUAUUAUAAGCUUCAAAAGAAAUGUUCUAUCUUAAAAGUAUUAUUACUCUUGCAUGGGGAUGUUUAAACUAUAGUUUAACAGUUAUGUAAUUUGAAUAUAUUAAUACUAAUAUUGAAGGGC